rnacentral:tRNA from 1 species
UCCCUGGUGGCUCAGACGGUAAAGCGUCUGCCUGCAACGCGAGAGACCUGGGUUUGAUCCCCAGUUCGAGAA